UGGUGUUCUUGGGGUGUGAAGGGAGGAAGAAUUGAGGGGAGGCUGCUGAGGAUCCUAGGCUGCUCCUCGUGGGAACCCUGUGGUGGGCCAGGUGGCUGAGGGUGGGGACUUUUCAGGAGAGGGUCUACAUGGGCUCUACUUGAGAGCAAGGGCUCAUCCCACCCGCACCCCGAUGUCACAGGGUGUCUUCCCCUAUCUUGGCAAUCUGCUCAGUGACCUGCUGAUGCUGCAACUGGCGAUGGUUGACUAUCUCGAGGGGAAUGAGAUCAACCUUGAGAAGAGGACUGAGGAGCAGCUGUGGCACUCCCUGCAGGGGAGGGGAAAGAGGAAUACCGAGUCAUGAGGAAGAUCCUGCUGCUCCAGGAGGCUGCCAAGAAUUACAACCUAGAACCCGAGGGAGCGAUUUGCGGCCUGGCUC